rnacentral:lncRNA from 1 species
AGGCUCACCGCGCCGGUCACGACAGGGCCCCGACCCGCCUACGAGUGGAGUGAUUCGACCAGAUCUGGGCCAAUGAACGUCGGGCGGGGCUGAAACAUGACGUUAGCAGCCGGGAGCUCCACCACGGGCCUGAGAGUGAACGCCGCGCUGCGCCUGGCCAAUCCGCAGCCCGAGCGGGCGACGGCUCGUGGACUGGCCCAAACUUCCUCACGAGUUCCUGCUGGACCCGGGUACCCUACGUACCGCUCGACCACUGGCUGUAGGCGUCAGGCAGAGAGCCAUGGUAACAGACUCUGUGAUGGACGAGUAAUGAUUAACAAUCUCCCAAGUGCUCAUAGCCCCAUCCGGAAGGCAUUGGCAGGGCUCCAGCUCAGCUCACAAUCCAGCAACUGGCCUAGAGCAGAGGCCAGCACACAACAACCUUGAUCACCAAGUCCCUUCCAGUCCAGAUUGCACUCCUGAAAUUCCGGGGCAGAUACCAGGAGGCAACUGCCUGCCCAAUCCCAGUUCCAUAACACAUGGCACGCCCACGGGCCGACCCCGUGCCUCCCACCAGCAAGAGUAGGCUAUCAAAAGACGCUCACAACACUUGAUGGGGUUUUUAUUCUUAAUCAAAUUUAAUGCACACUACAAGUCACAAAAGAAGGUGCUGCCAGCCUCAAACUACAUUCUCCCCAACCUCACCCCAGGAACUCCUAAACAGUUUAGGAGCUGGAUCCUCCCACUCUGGGAUGACCCAAAUGUUCCCGAGGAGGCUCGGGCACCUCUCGACCCUCCAUCAUUCCAACCUCCAACUCUAGACACAGACCCCUGCCCUUCAUGGGCCCUGAGACUUCCUCCUGUGGGAAAAGAGAGACAGCAGCAGCACAUGGUUCAGGGCCUUCAGGUCCAGCAGUCCAGGAAGGGUUAAGCUCUGGCCCAGGUCAGAGAGACGCCUUGGUAGGGCUGUCAGGGCACUCAGGCGCCCACACAUUCUACGUAAUUGGCAGGGUACAGACCAAUGCGGCCACUCUGCAGCUGGCCCUGGCACCAGCCCUGCUCAUCCUCCUCGCUCAUCUUCAGCAACUCUUCCCCUGAAGAAAGACAAAACAGUCAUUGCCCAAAGCACUGGCUUUACUGGUCUCAAAACUAGGUCAUGGACUGGGGGAUGGAAUAGCACAAGGGCCGACAAACUGGAGGAUACCCAACUCAGACCAGGAUAGGACACAGCCAGGAAAAGCCACCCAACCUUAGACCCCAGGGAGGCAACUGUCAGGCUGCAGCUGGACCCUGAGCAGCCUGUGAGGAUGGAGUCCCUGGCUUUCUUCGUCUACAGCCCUGCUCUAGCAAGUAGGACGGGGGCUGAAGUGGGAAGGACCAUGAAAGGGCCCAGCAUACCUGCUCGGAAGCUCAGCUCAUCAGCCUCCUGGCCAGCAUAGUCAUAAAGCGCCCGUACCCUCACCCCAGUGGCAACUUUCCGGGGACUCUCCUCAUCUGACCAGUCCUCGUCCUGCCCGCUACUAGAGAGGGGAACACAAGGGGCACAACUCAGGGCACAAGACCCACUGUAUCCAGUACUCAAGACAAAGGGCUUGGCUGCUUGGCGGCGGGCAGGGAGGAGCCAAGUGAACAGCCAUCCUGCUGCCACUCACUACUGUGGAUACAGGUCUAUCUCUGUGCACAGGACUGUUAUACAGCCAAACUUCGAGAGACACCGGACCAUGGAGCAAAUCUAAACCUCGGUGAAAUUAACUCUCCCAAGAUGGCCGUCGGGCACUGAUGUGAUAGGAAAGCAGGAAGAAGUGGUAACAAGCAAGCCAUAGAGCCCGGUCUUGGUUUUGUUCAGGAUCCCGGCUCUCACCCCGGGGACGAUGGGGACUGGGGUGGGGGUGCGGUGCCAUCUCUUGUCGGUACAAUGCUGGUCAGAGUAACCUCAUCUGGGCUCCGGCCACCCUUCUCCUUGCGGCUGAUGGCUCUCUGUGUGUCUAACGACCAUUCCUGUGGAGAGAUUUUGGCCCACCUUCACUGACUUCAUCGCAAACCUUGUCAUCCUUUUGGGAUCCACACUGAGCCCAACCCAGGCCCACCCAGCCUCUAAGACCUGCCUCAAACUGUGGCCAGUUCAUGGCCAUGCCAGGCCCGUGUGUGCUCCGCCACCAGCGCAGAUCCUCUUCAUCACUGGCAGCCUCAAUGCUCUGCUGCAGGUCUCGAUGGAGUUCAUGGAACCUAUGAGGCACCCAGUCAGACAGGGAAGGCCAAGAGCCCCUAGAAUGUCAAAUUAUGCAGCCCCACCAGAACCCAGAGGAGGUCAGGGGAGCCUCUCUCCAGCGCGCCGUCAUACUUGUCGCUACUGGAGAGGUCGAGGUGUUGAUGCAGGGUGAGCAAGACAUCCUUGAAGAAGAGAAGCCGCUGGCGCUCAGCAGCCUGGCAGCUCUCAAAAGCCUGCUCCAUGUCCUCCAUGUAGCGUGGGGUGUAGCGAUUUAGCUCGGCCAGGGUCUGCUCAUACUGGGUUUUCAUCUGGGUGAGAGAGAAGGGAGGCAGUGAGGACAGACUGCCUUCCACUCAGGCCCGCACCAGCAUUCUCUGAGCAUAGCCAUAGGCUAGACCUGAAGCAGUCAGACCUGGAACUCACUUCCUACCCUCAGGAACUGACAGAAGCAGCCUAAUAAGGGAAGUGGUACACAAACAAACACCUAGAAGAAUCUGGAUGAAGUGCAAGACAGGGUCAAUCUAGAUGAUAAGGUGAGAUAAAUCCAAGUAGGCUCCCUGGAGGAGGAGGUGUUAUAGAACUGCCACCCCUCAGAAAGGAUGAAAUGCUAGAGAGAAGGACACUCCGGGCAGGCGACAGAGUAUGCAAUAUGAGAACCGAUUCCAGGUAACUAAGUCUCCAACUUCCUGAAACCCAGCUAUUUCUCUCUUGGGUAAAAAAAAAUAAAAUAAAAAUAAAAAAAUAAAAAGUAAAAAAUGC